GAAAUGCGAUAAGUAGUGUGAAUUGCAGAACUUUGUGAACCAUCGAAUCUUUGAACGCAAAUUGCGCCUUCUUUCGGAAGGCAUGUCUGUUUGAGGGCACCAUUUAACAAAUAAUGUGCAGGUUUUGUGCUGUACACGUCGAUGAGCUUUUCCAAAAACGUUAGUAUUUGGUGGCGCAUAAUGAACAGCGCGGGCUUUUUUUUUAAUGCGAGUGUAAUAAACUUAAACUUGCUGCGAAAGAAAACGCGAUGCGCAAUGGGUGUGGCGAAAUUACCCCUGCCCCAAUGCCACUCUUUCUCCGAAAGAAAUUUAUCUUCAGGGCCUCAAAUCAGACAAGAAUACCCGCCGAACUUAA
rnacentral:misc_RNA from 1 species